UACGAGGGGGGCAAGCGUUGUUCGGAAUUAUUGGGCGUAAAGAGCUCGUAGGCGGCCUGUUGCGUCCGCUGUGAAAGCCCGGGGCUUAACCCCGGGUCGGCAGUGGAUACGGGCAGGCUAGAGGUAGGUAGGGGAGAAUGGAAUUCCCGGUGUAGCGGUGAAAUGCGCAGAUAUCGGGAGGAACACCGGUGGCGAAGGCGGUUCUCUGGGCCUUACCUGACGCUGAGGAGCGAAAGCGUGGGGAGCGAACAGG
rnacentral:rRNA from 1 species